AUAUUCGAAAGCAAUAAUUGAAGGGGCUAAGCAAAGAUGCCGUUCAUAUAUAUUAAGAGAUCAGGUAAAAAGAAUGGGGAACUACCCGGAACGGAGGACGAGAUUGCGUUUGAAGGAAAAGAAGCGAUACAAAACCCCAGCACUUAUAUUUGGAAUACCAUGAUUAGAGGCUACUCUAAAGCCAAAAUGGGCCAUAGUGGCUUCUUGUUUUUCUGCCAAAUGCUUCAGAAUGGCGCUGAAAUGGACUGUAGGAGCUUUGUUCUUGCGCUCAAAGAUGGGUUUUGCUUCUGCUAUGUUGUUUCAAGAUGGGUUGGCUCGGUUUUAUGAUCUGCUGCGUGGUUGUUUGGGUUUUGCUUGACACUUGUUUGAUGGAAUUCCCGCUAGAGAUGGACUUUCUGUCUAUGACUGAUGGGUAUUCUAAGCGUAAGUGUUGGGAUGAGACUGGAAGCUUUUUGACUCGAUGUCAGUGGAGGGCAAUGUAGAGCCAGAAGAGGUCACUAUGAUAGCCGCUCGUUCAGCAUGCUCGCAGAAGGUUGGCAAGGAUGUCGUUUAAUGAGAUGCCGGAGAGGAAUGUGGUUUCCUGGAGUGCCAUGACUGCUGGGUAACCACCCAAAGGAAGCUUUAGAAUGGUUUGUAACAUGCUGGAGGCUGCGUUUGUUCCAAUGGAGAACAUGAGUUCGUGUGCUCUCUGCUUGUGUUCAAUUGGAUUGCUCGGAAUUUGGUCAGUGAAUCUCUGAAGUAGAGAGGAAUUUAUACAUUUCUGAUUCAGCUGGGAGAAGGGUGCUGCAGUCAGAGAAGAAUGAGAUUUUCAUAGUUAAAUUAAAUUAGCUUGUGCUCUCAUUGAUGAUAUUCAGGAUUUGAGAAUUUUGGUACUUUACUCUGGCAAGGUAUAUUUCCUUCUAAAAUUGAGAUGUAUUUGUGGAAGUCCGAGUACAGGAUUUCUUGCCUAUAAAAGUAUUAGUUAUGAUGAGACGUGUGGUUUUUCUUUUUUAUAGUGUUUUUUUUAUUUGAAAUUACAAUUUCCGUUAUUUUUUAAAAUAUUUUUUAUUUUGAAAUAUAAAAAAUUAAAAAACCUUAUUUUUAAAUUGUUUUUUCUUUGAGUAAUUUUAUUUUUCAUUAUAAGAGAUGUGAACAGAACCUAACCAUAGGUUUGGACAGACUUCAUUACUAAUUAGCCUUUGACUAGGGCUGAAGCUGGUGGCCGGCAACAGGUUCACCGGAGCAACAAACUAUCUUGAAAAAUAGUUGCAGUAGGACAGCGUUUUCUUACAAGCAAAUACAUCCAUAUACAGGGAAGACAUCCUAAGCAUACCUUUCCCAUGCAGAUCUUUGAUAUCAUCUUAAAUAUUAUUUACAGCUUCUUGUUCCCAUUAAAUCAAAGAAUUCUCAAAUUACAACGAUCUACAGGCAUCUACGACUGCAAUUAAUCAUAAGCUUUACACGCAUUUCUCUGUACAGUGUGCAUGUAUUUAUUUAUUCUCUUCUUACGGCAUGCACAAAUAUAUCACAGGUUAUCAGUCAGAUUUACAUACCAUGGCCUGUGAAUGCCAGUGGAUACGGUGGCUGCCACCACUAAUACUUCAGCAGCUGCCACCACUCUUUUAGUCAGCAUGACAGCUCCAAUCUGCCUGAGUGCCAUUUCUACUAAUUUUCUUCCCCAGAGUCCACUGCCCCCAAGCACAAUUCCUCUUAGAGCCAAAUAGACAGCACGGGAAA